GGGGAUUUUCAGAACAGAGGUUGUGGCAGUUUCAGCAUCAAAUACCUGUUAAAGAAGAAAAGAUAGUUGAACUGGAAACAGAAAAUGCUGUUCUGUCCCUGAGAUUGGCAGAGAUAACGAAGUAAUGUUUUGCUCUGACCAAUGAGCCACAGGAAUGGCUCUAGAUGUGGUCAUCGUAUACUACCCUGAAAGAACCGCCAGAGUUCCAGGACGGCCACCUUUCACUUAAGCAAACUUGUCCACAGACUGUGUGGGUCCCAUCAGCUGAGAGUAGCCUUCACAUUGCAGUGAUGUGCAUAUUUCUGCUUUUCAGCCACGAUGGACUUUAGGAUCUUCCCUGAGGACCCUACACGAACCACAGGUGACCUGGAUGCAGAAGUCCUACCUGUAGCUGCCAUCCAGGGCAUAAGUCCCUCAGUGAGUGAAUUCCAGAUGGUUCUGUCUAAAGCAGCAUCGAGCAGGG
ensembl:lncRNA